rnacentral:piRNA from 1 species
UCGCCUCAUUUUUUAUAUGCAAAUUUGCGU